UAGGUAUGAUGGCCAACGAGCUCAGAUUUUGUGCUCUUGCAUCCCCCAUGUGGGCUGGAUGAAUCACCAUGGAAUGAACCUGGAAUUUUAACUGCUAGAAAGGAUUUAGACUACAUUGGAUGAGAAGAACUGUUGGAAGCCUUGAAGAGGGUAGGUGUUUUGUUUUGUUUUUUUCCCACUUACAUGGAUAAUUAUAGUGUUUCACUAAUUCAACUGUGUACACAUGUUCUCAAUCUACCCACUUGCAGCAAAAGGGUACGUUUAAAACAUGUCAAGAAGAUAGUACUAAAAUUCUGGAGGAGUUAAAGCUGAGGUUGGCAUACAGGGAAGCAGUUGUGGCUGUUCUUGCAUGCUACAAUCCAAAUCCUCACCGUCCUUUCACUGAGACUAAUAUUCGUUCCAUUCGCAGCAAGCCAAAUAUGCGUUAUGUUGAGACUACUGGAAGGUUUUUUUGAGGAAGUCAGAUUAUGUAGAAUCUAUAGUCUGUGCAUGUGCCCGUAAGUCUUAUAUC